UAGCAGCUAAGUGCUGUGCUCGGGAUGGCGGGUGGUACCCGCUCGGAGGCCCUGCGGCCAGGAGAACUUGGUCAUCUCGGUCAUCUCAGCUAUCUCGGCUGCGGCCACCCCUAACGCCCCGGUGAUCUGGGCGACUCACUUCCUCUCUCAUCUGCACAACGGGGCAAAUAGACUGGACGACCUUUACUGGUCCUGCUUGGAUCGCCUUACACAACGCGCGCAGCUUUUCAAGCAUCGGACCAGCCAGGGGGCACCAGCACCAUUCCAGCUGUGGCCAGAAGGCUCCUCUCUCCCGAGGAGAUCCAAGCGCAACGCAUUCAGGCCCAGAGUAGCCCAGUGUUUCCGGUCCUCCCACGGCCAAGCCCGUCCCUUCCAGCCCAGGAAGGCUGGGGCGGGAGGAACAGCUGGGCUGCCUGUGUAAGUUAAUGGGAGCUGUAAUUUCUCCAGUGCCUCCAUCUAGAAAUGGGAGCGAUGUGCAUAAUUUAUGGGGGUCUGGGUCUGCGCGGCCGGGCUGGGCGCCCACUUGCUCACAGUUGGACGGAUGUGAGAGAAUGGAAGAGCGCUCGGAGGGGGGCUGCCCAGAGCUGCCGCCCUGGCCUGGCUCCUCAGCCGUGUUCUCUGGGACAUUGAACAUCGGGGGCUGGAGGAGAGGCCUAGAGUUAACGCUUCUCUCCACUCUGGUUUCCUGGGCAGCAGAGCGAAAGGAGAUCAAGCUGGUUUUACCGCGGCUUUCGUAGCUCUGAGUCACAGCGUGGCUGAGGAGGGGGCAUUGGAGCAGCCACGGCGUCCUCAUUUGCCUUCAAUCCUGAUGCCAACCUGGACAUUUAUGUCCCGACACCCCUCCCCCCCAACACACACUGGAAUAUCAGCUCCCUGAGGGUGAGGGACCUUGCCUGUUGUGUUGACUGCUGUUCAUGCAGCAUGCAGAAUAAGGCCUGGUCCGUAGUGAUGUACUCAGUGAAUAUUUGUUGAAUGACUGAGUGAGCUCAGGAUGUCAGCAGGAGUGAGGGAGACGGUGUGGUAGAGUUGAAAGAGACAGAUCUGAGUUUGAGCCUAAUUCCACCGCUGACUUGUUACGUGAACUUGAACAGUUUAAACCUCUUUUUAAAUUCUCUGUAGCUGUUUCUCUGUAAAA